GACGAACGCUGGCGGCGCGCUUAACACAUGCAAGUCGAACGGAAAGGCCUGCUUUCCCUUGUGGAUUGCGGGUACUCGAGUGGCGAACGGGUGAGUAACACGUGAGUGAUCUGCCCCCAACUUGGGUAUAAGCCUGGGAAACUGGGUCUAAUUCCCGAUAGAACUGCAGGGUGGUGCCUGUGGUGGAAAACGAUUUUCUAGUGGUUGGGGAUGAGCUCGCGGCCUAUCAGCUUGUUGGUGGGGUAAUGGCCUACCAAGGCGGCGACGGGUAGCCGGCCUGAGAGGGUGGACGGCCACAUUGGGACUGAGAUACGGCCCAGACUCCUACGGGAGGCAGCAGUGGGGAAUAUUGCACAAUGGGCGGAAGCCUGAUGCAGCGACGCCGCGUGGGGGAUGACGGCCUUCGGGUUGUAAACUCCUUUCGACCGCGAGGAAGCCACCUGGUUGGAAGGGUGGUGACGGUAGUGGUAGAAGAAGCACCGGCUAACUACGUG
rnacentral:rRNA from 1 species